GUAUUCAGGCGCAACACAUGCAAGUCUAACACCCUAGCAAUAGGGAGUGGCGCACGGGUGAGUAACGCGUGGGAACGUGCCCUUCACUUCGGGAUAACGUAGGGAAAGGGACGCUAAUACCGUAUAAUGCCUGAGGUGCAAAGAUUUAUCGCUGAAGGAGCGGCCCGCGUCUGAUUAGGUAGUUGGUGGGGUAAAAGCUUACCAAGGCGACGAUCAGUAGCAGGUCUGA
rnacentral:rRNA from 1 species